GCAGGUACAGCGGGAAGCCACCCGGCGACGGGGCGCGGAACCCGAAAACCUGUCUCAGUUCGGAUUGGAGUCUGCAACCCGACUCCAUGAAGCUGGAUUCGCUAGUAAUCGCGCAUCAGCCACGGCGCGGUGAAUACGUUCCCGGGCCUUGUACACACCGCCCGUCAAGCCAUGGAAGCCGGGGGUGCCUGAAGUGCGUGACCGCAAGGAGCGCCCUAGGGUAAAACCGGUGACUGGGGCUAAGUCGUAACAAGGUACC
rnacentral:rRNA from 1 species